rnacentral:rRNA from 1 species
UAGAGUUUGAUCCUGGCUCAGGACGAACGCUGGCGGCGUGCUUAACACAUGCAAGUCGAGCGGUAAGGCCCUUUCGGGGGUACACGAGCGGCGAACGGGUGAGUAACACGUGGGUGAUCUGCCCUGCACUCUGGGAUAAGCCUGGGAAACUGGGUCUAAUACCGGAUAUGAGCUCCUGCCGCAUGGUGGGGGUUGGAAAGGUUUACUGGUGCAGGAUGGGCCCGCGGCCUAUCAGCUUGUUGAUGGGGUAAUGGCCUACCAAGGCGACGACGGGUAGCCGGCCUGAGAGGGCGACCGGCCACACUGGGACUGAGACACGGCCCAGACUCCUACGGGAGGCAGCAGUGGGGAAUAUUGCACAAUGGGCGAAAGCCUGAUGCAGCGACGCCGCGUGAGGGAUGACGGCCUUCGGGUUGUAAACCUCUUUCAGCAGGGACGAAGCGAAAGUGACGGUACCUGCAGAAGAAGCACCGGCCAACUACGUGCCAGCAGCCGCGGUAAUACGUAGGGUGCGAGCGUUGUCCGGAAUUACUGGGCGUAAAGAGCUCGUAGGCGGUUUGUCGCGUCGUCUGUGAAACCCGCAGCUCAACUGCGGGCUUGCAGGCAAUACAAGCAGACUUGAGUACUGCAGGGGAAACUGGAAUCCCUGGUGUAGCGGUGAAAUGCCCCAAUAUCAGGAGGAACACGGUGGCGAAGGCGGGUCUCUGGGCANUAACUGACCCUAAGGAGCCAAACCUGGGUACCAAACGGAUAAUAUCCCCUGUAAUCCCCCCCUAACCUUGGGCACUAGUGGG